rnacentral:misc_RNA from 1 species
GAUGAAGAACGUAGCAAAAUGCGAUAAGUAAUGUGAAUUGCAGAAUUCAGUGAAUCAUCGAAUCUUUGAACGCACAUUGCGCCCGCCAGUAUUCUGGCGGGCAUGCCUGUUCGAGCGUCAUUUCAACCCUCAAGCACAGCUUGGUGUUGGGACUCGCGUUAAUUCGCGUUCCCCAAAUUGAUUGGCGGUCACGUCGAGCUUCCAUAGCGUAGUAGUAAAACCCUCGUUACUGGUAAUCGUCGCGGCCACGCCGUUAAACCCCAACUUCUGAAUGUUGACCUCGGAUCAGGUAGGAAUACCCGCUGAACUUAAGCAUAUCAAUGGAGGA